UAAGUGAUGGCAGAUCAAUGCAAAGGUUUUAAGAGCCUUUUAUGAGUUUAUUCUCUCAUUUUU
rnacentral:tRNA from 1 species